ensembl:lncRNA
AUGUUCAGGGCUAGGUCUCCUGGCAGAGUGGCUCUGAAUGCCCCCUGCAGUGAGAAGGACUCUGGCUGCCCUGGACGGAGAGGGGCUCAACCAGCUGGGAGUCCUCAGUGCCAUGCCAAGGGCCGCCUUAUCUUCCUCUCCCAAAUGCCGCUUUCAAAACAGAUUCAUUCCCCAAACGGAUGUGACCCCAGCACAGGAGAAAUGCAUGACAGCCGGAUAAUAAACCCACAGAUCAGAACUGUCAGAUCGUCUUCAGAGCAACAGGCAACACGCUCUCCCGAGACUUGACCAGAAAGCUAUUUUCUAAAAGACGUUAUUUCCCAAUUAUGGAAGUAAGAUGUCCCCCUUACAGGUAAGUUCAUAAAGUGCAGAAAAGUGUACUGGUGAUGGUUCCAUAUUGUGGGCGUUCGUGCCAAGGCAAAGGUCUUGAGAAGCACAGCAGUUGCCUUCACCACUGGCUUCCCAUGAAAACCACGAGGAGGGUAUUAUUAUCCCCCCAACUUCAGAUGGGAAAGCUCAGGUCCAGGGGAAUUAAUAGCUCUCCUGGCCAGGCGCGGUGGCUCAUGCCUGUAAUCCCAGCACUUUGGGAGGCCGAGAUGGGCGGAUCACGAGGUCUGGAGAUCAAGACCAUCGUGGUUAACACAGUGAAACCCCGUCUCUACUAAAAAUACAAAAAAUUAGCUGGGCGUGGUGGCGGGUGCCUGUAGUCCCGGCUACUCGGGAGGCUGAGGCAGGAGAAUGGUGUGAACCCGGGAGGCAGAGCUUGCAGUGAGCUGAGAUCGCGCCCCUGUACUCCAGCUUGGGUGAUAGAGCGAGACUCUGUCUCAAAAAAAAAAAAAAAAAAAAAAAGCUCUCCCAAGGUUGCAGAUUCGGGGUCACUGGUGGAGCCAGGAAGCAAAUCCAAGCCUCAUGACAAAUCUUGAUUCUGACGUGUGACGAGAGAUGGUUACUGCCAGCCAUGCCAGCCUCAGGCUAACCUGCCCCAAUCCUGGGGGAUCCCUUCAACUCACCCAGCACAGCUGCAGCCAGGUAGAGCCAGGCCACGUGCUAAUUCCAGCCCUGAGCCCAGCCAGGCUACCUGGCGGGGGAGACCCACUCUCUCCUCAGCGCCCCCGUCUGUGCCUGUAAACCCUGGUCCACACUAGAUGCAUCUUCUGGGGAUGCUGUGAGAAUUGCAUGAGAAUAGGUGUGGGUGCCCGGGCCCCCAGAGCUGCCCCCAGAGACACCCCCAGCACAGAUGAGCUUUUACGGGGACCCCAUAGGUUUCCAUUUCUCUGUCCUUGCGGUAAUACUGGCAUAUAAUUUUGACACUCCCUGUUUUAUCCUCAAAUGAAAGGUGAAGGCUGGCUGCUUCUCUGCCCUCUCUAGGACUCACCUGUAGCCCUGGAACAAGGCUGCUCUUGCUUGGGACACUGCCCAGCAGGCAGAGGUGCCCAGCACAGAGGCCUCUGCACACCCAGACACAACCCGGGUUCUGAUAGCCUGGCCGGGAUCCACACAGCCCCGUGGGAUGGGAACGACACUGGCCAAGCUGCACGAUUCCCCAGGAGGAGGAACAGGGUAUUUUUUAAAAGGGAUGCAUAAUAAUUGUACAUAUCCAUGUUGUACAGAGUAAUGUUUCCAUACAUACAAUGUGUAGUGAUCAAAUCAGGAUGAUUAGCACUUCCAUCAUUUAACAUUUCCUUGUGUUCAGAGCAUUCAAAAUAGUCCUUUCUAGCUUUCUGCGUGUGUGUCAUGGUUUUGUCCAUUGCUGUCUUCCCCACAUGGGGACAGUGCACGGUGCAAGGUUUGCCUUUAAAUAAGUCGAUAUCAGGGAAAUCUUCCAGGAGAAGAUGGCGUCCGUGCUGGGUCUCAGGAACCCGGGGUAACUUCAGCAGAGGACAGCGCUACAGAGAAGAUCUCCUGCAGAGGGCUGGGGGAGCCAGGGCCUGAGCUGUGGGCUCCUGGGCAUGUCCAAGGCCUGGCAGGGCCUAGGGAAGGUGGCUUGUGCCCUCACAAUGGAGGGCCUUGAAUGCAGUGGGGGGAUCCCUCAAGUACCUUGGGCUGAUCAGCACUCUUGCUUUGGAGGGAAAAUGCGGAGUGCUCACGUGAUUCUGCACAGGAAGCUUCAUUUUCAAGAUGGGUGAUUUGGCCAUGGGAUGAGGACCCGGUAUGGGAUCCCCUCCUCAGCUGCAGAAGAGGAGCAAGGCCGGGAGAGAGGGGCUGGAAGCAGAGAGACCUGACGCCUGGAUUCAGGCAUCAGGGAGGGUAUGGCCAGCUCUGUUCUGAGAUUGCUCACCUGGGUGAACUCGAGGCUGGUGGGAACCUUAGUAGGGACAGGAGGCCACCUUAGGGGGAGGGUGCUGUUUUGGGACUGAUCAAUUCCCCAACCCAUGAGUACUAAAUACUUCCUCUGGGCUUCAUUCUGUGAGACCAGGAGUGGCCUUCUGGUCAACCCAUCUCAGAAGCAUUUUGCAAAGGUGGAUGGAUGCUCCCAGCCCCACAACCUCUGGCCCUGGCAUCUCUGUGGGUGCCAGGAUGCAGAGGUGGGCUGCAGAGGCCUAGACCCCGCAGAAGUGCCCUUGCCUGUUGAGUAGAGCUGUUUCAGCCUAAGUGCCCUCCAC